rnacentral:rRNA from 1 species
UCAGGAGGUGCGCCGUCGGUCGAUCGAAACGGACCUCCUCCAAGGCCGGGCCGCGGGCACGGUCUCCGAUCCGCCUGACGCAUUUCCUCCCGCACUGUGGACGCCGCAACCGGUCGGGUAGCUGCGCGAGUCGGCCACGAGGGCGGGCGCCGGCAGGUGGCCGGGGGUUUCGCUUCGGCGUCGCUCCCGGUUGUUAGCCAGCUCGUCCGUGGCGCGACACCCGACCGAGGUCGACCCGUUCCCGCUUCGUGGGAACGUGCCGUCCCCUUCCUAGCGGGCGCUCCGGCAAGCGUGCUGCGGUCGUCGCCGAGUCACUCUCCGUAGUGGCCGGCGCGUCGCGGUCGCCGAUGGUCGGCAGUGAGUCCCGCGGGGGCGGUCCCGGGGUUGGCGGCGAGUAGGUCGGUCACCCACCCGACCCGUCUUGAAACACGGACCAAGGAGUCUAACAUGUGCGCGAGUCACGGGGUCUUGAAUAGGCCCAGAGGCGCAAUGAAAGUGAAGGCCGCUCUCGCGGUGGCUGUGUUGGGACUCCGUCGCCUUCGGGCGGGCGGAAGCACCAACGGCCCGUCCUAUCCGAUUUAUCGGUUGGGCGGAGUCGGAGCGUACACGUUGGGACCCGAAAGAUGGUGAACUAUGCCUGGGCAGGACGAAGCCAGAGGAAACUCUGGUGGAGGUCCGUAGCGGUUCUGACGUGCAAAUCGAUCGUCAGACCCGGGUAUAGGGGCGA